rnacentral:rRNA from 1 species
AGUGAACGCUGGCGGUAGGCCUAACACAUGCAAGUCGAACGGCAGCACAGUAAGAGCUUGCUCUUACGGGUGGCGAGUGGCGGACGGGUGAGGAAUACAUCGGAAUCUACUUUUUCGUGGGGGAUAACGUAGGGAAACUUACGCUAAUACCGCAUACGACCUACGGGUGAAAGCAGGGGAUCUUCGCACCUUGCGCGAUUGAAUGAGCCGAUGUCGGAUUAGCUAGUUGGCGGGGUAAAGGCCCACCAAGGCGACGAUCCGUAGCUGGUCUGAGAGGAUGAUCAGCCACACUGGAACUGAGACACGGUCCAGACUCCUACGGGAGGCAGCAGUGGGGAAUAUGGGACAAUGGGCGCAAGCCUGAUCCAGCCAGACCGCGUGGGUGAAGAAGGCCUUCGGGUUGUAAAGCCCUUUUGUUGGGAAAGAAAAGCAGCAGGUUAAUACCCCGCUGUUCUGACGGUACCCAAAGAAUAAGCACCGGCUAACUUCGUG